GAUGAACGCUGACAGAAUGCUUAACACAUGCAAGUCUACUUGAUCCUUCGGGUGAUGGUGGCGGACGGGUGAGUAACGCGUAAAGAACUUGCCCUGCAGUCUGGGACAACAUUUGGAAACGAAUGCUAAUACCGGAUAUUAUGUGAGUUUCGCAUGAAAUUCAUAUGAAAGCUAUAUGCGCUGCAGGAGAGCUUUGCGUCCUAUUAGCUAGUUGGUGAGGUAACGGCUCACCAAGGCGAUGAUAGGUAGCCGGCCUGAGAGGGUGAACGGCCACAAGGGGACUGAGACACGGCCCUUACUCCUACGGGAGGCAGCAGUGGGGAAUAUUGGGCAAUGGACCAAAAGUCUGAUCCAGCAAUUCUGUGUGCACGAUGAAGUUUUUCGGAAUGUAAAGUGCUUUCAGUUGGGACGAAGUAAGUGACGGUACCAACAGAAGAAGCGACGGCUAAAUACGUGCCAGCAGCCGCGGUAAUACGUAUGUCGCAAGCGUUAUCCGGAUUUAUUGGGCGUAAAGCGCGUCUAGGCGGUUUGGUAAGUCUGAUGUGAAAAUGCGGGGCUCAACUCCGUAUUGCGUUGGAAACUGCCAAACUAGAGUACUGGAGAGGUGGGCGGAACUACAAGUGUAGAGGUGAAAUUCGUAGAUAUUUGUAGGAAUGCCGAUGGGGAAGCCAGCCCACUGGACAGAUACUGACGCUAAAGCGCGAAAGCGUGGGUAGCANACAGG
rnacentral:rRNA from 1 species